rnacentral:pre_miRNA from 1 species
AAUAAGACCAUUUUUCAGUUUUUUGGUAUAAUGUUUUGACUCUUCGUCUUAUUUGGAAUAUAUUUGCGAUUAAUAUUUUUAUUCUUACUGGAUGAUAAAACGCAAAUAGUACUUUAUGCGUAACUAUUUUUUUAAGUUUUUGUACGAAUUUUUCAAAUAAAACAAAUGGUUAAACGUUAGGCAUGGAAAAACA